rnacentral:ncRNA from 1 species
CUUCGGGGCGGGGUGAAAUUCCCCACCGACGGUAACCGAUUUAUCGGAAGCCCGUGAGCCAUAAAUAUAUGGUUGAACAGGUGCAAUUCCUGUGCCGACGGUAUAGUCCGGAUGAGAGAGGU